GUGGGUGUAGCUCAGUUGGCAGAGCGCUAGGUUGUGGUCCUGGAUGUCGAGGGUUCAAGCCCCUUCACUCACCCCA
rnacentral:tRNA from 1 species